AGCACUGUACUUUCAGGUAUCAUUUCUAUAGUGUUUAACUCAGGAAUGUGAUUUGAAAGUGUUAUGUCUCUCUAAUCACGGUGAUGAGUUAUGAUGUACUUUUCUGGACAUGAGCUGGAUUUUAGCUGAUGAUUUGUUCAUGAGCUUUAAUUCUUGAUGAGCGUUUUGUGCUUCUUAUAAAGCCUGAGAGGAAAAGUACAUGUUCAGAGUGAU